rnacentral:rRNA from 1 species
GACAGAGGGUGCGAACGUUGUUCGGAAUUACUGGGCGUAAAGCGCAUGUAGGCGGCAGCGCAAGUCGGGCGUGAAAUCCCACGGCUCAACCGUGGAAGUGCACUCGAAACUGCAUAGCUAGAGUCCUGGAGAGGAAGGUGGAAUGCUUGGUGUAGAGGUGAAAUUCGUAGAUAUCAAGCUGAACACCGGUGGCGAAGGCGGCCUUCUGGACAGUGACUGACGCUGAGACGCGAAAGCGUGGGGAGCAAACAGG